CCCGCUGAACUUAAGCAUAUCAAUAAGCGGAGGAAAAGAAACUAACAAGGAUUCCCCUAGUAACUGCGAGUGAAGCGGGAAAAGCUCAAAUUUAAAAUCUGGUGGCUUUGGUCAUCCGAGUUGUAAUUUAGAGAAGCAUCUUCCACGCUGGACCGUGCACAAGUCUCCUGGAAUGGAGCGUCAUAGAGGGUGAGAAUCCCGUCUUUGGCACGGACGCACCAGGGCUUCUGUGAUGCGCUCUCGAAGAGUCGAGUUGUUUGGGAAUGUAGCUCAAAAUGGGUGGCGAACUCCAUCUAAAGCUAAAUAUUGGUGAGAGACCGAUAGCGAACAAGUACCGUGAGGGAAAGAUGAAAAGCACUUUGGAAAGAGAGUGAAACAGUACGUGAAAUUGUUGAAAGGGAAACGCUUGAAGUCAGUCGCGUCGACCGAGACUCAGCCUUGCCUUGGCUUGGUGUACUUCUCAGCUGACAGGUCAGCAUCAAUUUUGCCCCUCGGAUAAUGGUGAGGGAAAUGUGGCACCUUUGCGGGUGUGUUUAUAGUCCUUUGUCGCAUGCGAGGGUUGGGAUUGAGGAACUCAGCACGCGCCUUUCGGCGUCGGGGCUCUGCCCACGAUACGUGCUUAGGAUGUUGGCGUAAUGGCUUUAAACGACCCGUCUUGAAACACGG
rnacentral:rRNA from 1 species